rnacentral:rRNA from 1 species
AGUUAAGUGACUAAGCGUACACGGUGGAUGCCUAGGCAAUCAGAGGCGAAGAAGGACGUGCUAAUCUGCGAAAAGCUUGGAUGAGUUGAUAAGAAGCGUUUAAUCCAAGAUAUCCGAAUGGGGAAACCCAGUAGAUGAAGAAUCUACUAUCACUUGUUGAAUACAUAGGCAAGUGAAGCAAACCGGGAGAACUGAAACAUCUAAGUACCCCGAGGAAAAGAAAUCAACCGAGAUUUUGUAAGUAGCGGCGAGCGAAAGCGAAAGAGCCAGUGAGUGAUAGCAGCAAAGACAGAAGAAUUGGCUGGGAAGCCAAGCGACACAGGGUGAUAGCCCCGUAUUCGAAGUUUUUGUUGUGGUACUAAGCUAACGAUAAGUAGGGCGGGACACGAGAAAUCCUGUUUGAAGAUGGGGGGACCAUCCUCCAAGGCUAAAUACUCCUGAUUGACCGAUAGUGAACCAGUACUGUGAAGGAAAGGCGAAAAGAACCCCAGUGAGGGGAGUGAAAUAGAACCUGAAACCGUGUACGUACAAGCAGUGGGAGCCCUUUGGGGUGACUGCGUACCUUUUGUAUAAUGGGUCAGCGACUUAUAUUUUGUAGCGAGGUUAACUGAAUAAGGGAGCCGAAGGGAAACCGAGUCUUAACUGGGCGGAUAGUUGCAAGGUAUAGACCCGAAACCCGGUGAUCUAGCCAUGGGCAGGUUGAAGGUUGGGUAACACUAACUGGAGGACCGAACCGACUAAUGUUGAAAAAUUAGCGGAUGACUUGUGGCUGGGGGUGAAAGGCCAAUCAAACCGGGAGAUAGCUGGUUCUCCCCGAAAUCUAUUUAGGUAGAGCCUUAUGUGAAUACCUUCGGGGGUAGAGCACUGUUUCGGCUAGGGGUCCAUCCCGGAUUACCAACCCGAUGCAAACUGCGAAUACCGAAGAGUAGUGCAUAGGAGACACACGGUGGGUGCUAACGUCCAUCGUGGAGAGGGAAACAACCCAGACCGCCAGCUAAGGUCCCAAAGUCUAUAUUAAGUGGGAAACGAAGUGGGAAGGCUUAGACAGCUAGGAUGUUGGCUUAGAAGCAGCCAUCAUUUAAAGAAAGCGUAAUAGCUCACUAGUCGAGUCGGCCUGCGCGGAAGAUGUAACGGGGCUAAAAUAUAGCACCGAAGCUGCGGCAUCAGGCGUAUCACUAAUACGCCUUA